UUUUAGUCCUUUCUAAUGCUAUGUUACGUGUAUAAAUACGUAAUCACAUAGCUUCGCUUGUGGACGAGAUUAAAUAUAAAGUUUUAUUAUCCUAGCAUUUGAUGAAUUUAUAAAAAUUGGUUUUCAAAAUGCUCGAGAAACGUAAAACUACACUC
rnacentral:snoRNA from 1 species